UGAAACAAAUCCCAAAGAAAACAUCCAAAAUUCUCAAUCCAAGAUCCUCACUUCUUCUAAGCAACAACACUAGGCCUAUAUCUAGUUCCACUAUCCAUAACUCUUAGUAUAAAACAGGCUCUAGUUCUUGAUUUCUCAAAUUUGACUAGUACAUAAUCCUACAACUACGAGUCACAAAACUACAGAGACUACAUUCAUAACUCUAUCAUGCUUCAUUCUUCAGUACACUGCCUCUCAGUUAUAGUUGAUUCAACAAUCUCUACACUACAAGCUUCACUGAAGUAAAUCUUCUGAAACAACACCAAAACUU